rnacentral:rRNA from 1 species
GUGGGGAAUAUUGGGCAAUGGGCGAAAGCCUGACCCAGCAACGCCGCGUGAAGGAAGAAGGUUUUCGGAUCGUAAACUUCUAUCCUUGGUGAAGAUAAUGACGGUAGCCAAGAAGGAAGCCCCGGCUAACUACGUGCCAGCAGCCGCGGUAAUACGUAGGGGGCAAGCGUUGUCCGGAAUGAUUGGGCGUAAAGGGCGCGUAGGCGGCCCGGUAAGUCUGAAGUGAAAGUCCUGCUUUUAAGGUGGGAAUUGCUUUGGAUACUGUCGGGCUUGAGUGCAGGAGAGGUAAGCGGAAUGCCCGGUGUAGCGGUGAAAUGCGUAGAGAUCGGGAGGAACACCAGUGGCGAAGGCGGCUUACUGGACUGUAACUGACGCUGAGGCGCGAAAGUGUGGGGAGCAAACAGGAUUAGAAACCCGAGUAGUCC